UACGGAGGGUGCUAGCGUUGUUCGGAAUUACUGGGCGUAAAGCGCACGUAGGCGGCUAUGUAAGUUAGAGGUGAAAGCCCGGGGCUCAACCCCGGAACUGCCUUUAAGACUGCAUCGCUUGAAUCCGGGAGAGGUGAGUGGAAUUCCGAGUGUAGAGGUGAAAUUCGUAGAUAUUGGGAAGAACACCGGUGGCGAAGGCGGCUAUCUGGACCGACAUUGACGCUGAGGCGCGAAAGCGUGGGGAGCAAACAGG
rnacentral:rRNA from 1 species